AACGAACGCUGGCGGCAUGCCUAACACAUGCAAGUCGAACGAAGGCUUCGGCCUUAGUGGCGCACGGGUGUGUAACGCGUGGGAAUCUGCCCUUGGGUUCGGAAUAACUCAGAGAAAUUUGAGCUAAUACCGGAUGAUGACGUAAGUCCAAAGAUUUAUCGCCCAAGGAUGAGCCCGCGUAAGAUUAGCUAGUUGGUGGGGUAAAGGCCUACCAAGGCGACGAUCUUUAGCUGGUCUGAGAGGAUGAUCAGCCACACUGGGACUGAGACACGGCCCAGACUCCUACGGGAGGCAGCAGUGGGGAAUAUUGGACAAUGGGCGAAAGCCUGAUCCAGCAAUGCCGCGUGAGUGAUGAAGGCCUUAGGGUUGUAAAGCUCUUUUACCAGGGAUGAUAAUGACAGUACCUGGAGAAUAAGCUCCGGCUAACUCCGUG
rnacentral:rRNA from 1 species